rnacentral:lncRNA from 1 species
AUUUAAGUAUAUUUCUCACUUUGCUAGGUAUUUUCUUGGGGAGGGAUAAACCUAAAUCAGAGCUUAGUAAUUUAUACAGAACAGGUGAUAGCACACAAGGUGUGUCAGGUGCAGGGUCACAAGAGAGGUCACAUAUGAACUUAGCUAGGUGGAUAAACAGAGAAAUAUAGAGACAGUUCUACUUACAGAUUAUACACAGACACAUUUACGCUAAUUCUUUGGAAUUAUUUGUUUUUGUUUAACCUCUUUAACCCCUUUUAGUUGCGGGGGCUACGUAACGCACACAAAUUGAAAUACAUUUACUGACUUACUGAUUUACUGCAUUUAUUUAUAGUUUAAUUCAUGUACACACAUAUGUUUCUAUUGUAUGUAUCUUUAGACAGCAACAAUGAACUACUAUUUUUGACUACAGUUUUGCUUUUCUGAUUUACGGCUAUGUGUGUGUGUGUGUGUGUGUUUGUGUGUGUGGGCUGAGAUUCAAUAAUUUACAAGUUAAUUUGUGUCUAUUCGGAUUACCAGUAUUGCGUGUUAUUUUGUUCUUGUUUAAACUAUUAAAUGCUUUCAGCAUAAUUGUAGCUUAACUCUUAGAUUGUAACACCCACAGAGUAGGAGUGGGAGUAGCAGCAGGAGCAGUAUGGAAAGUAGGGUAUCUGCUCCCAAAGGGGUUCGUUUAAUUUGCUAUAAAUUCCCAUUUAUUUAUCAUAAAUAUAUGUAUAUUUUUAUGUGUAGCUAUUUAGUUUGGGUUUAAGUUUACUUAGAGCUAGACAAACGUUCAAGUUUCACUUAGCGCUUUCAAGGGUUCCUCAGUAAAUUCGAAAGUGGGAGAGCAAGAGGUACAAAAGAGUGGCCUUACAUACAUUACAUACUCGUACAUACUUCUACAUUUAGUUUCGUCCUUCGAUACAAGACUUUGCCAUUUAACUAAUAUCUAUAACAUGUUUUUGUGUAGUUUUUGUUUCCGUUUCCGCUUUAAUUUGCUUACAUUUAAGCUUUGUUUUUGGAUAGUUCUUUGGUUGAUAUUCUUGCAGGUGAGUACACACAAUCGCUGCUUGUUAUUUACAUAAUUUAGGUUAAAGUCUAUGUCUAUGGGAGGGAAGGGAAAGUACAGUAUACACAACGCAGUCUGUACAGUAAGGUACAACAGAGUUAUAAGAGUAUUAAAGUAUAGGUACAGAAUUCCCAUGGCUGAGUAUCUUUCAGUUUCAGUUUGUGUUUUCAGUGUUUCAGUGUGCGUGAUAUGUGUGGGACUGCUCUUUGGGUAAAUUGCCUCUGACAUUUGAUAAUUAAUAAUUCAAAACAUAGCUGAUAUGUUCCACAGAGACUAGACUGUACACUGACAAAUGUGGGAUAUUUGCUAGCUUUCCUAUUGGCAUUUUCCACUAAUGGCAGACACUGAUGCUCCCAUGUGGGGCACGGCACUGCUACCCCCACAUCCCGCUUGACAUAUAAUGCGGAAAUGCAGCAGUGAACCCCGUGGGGGAUAUCCUCUAAUGCCACAACGGCAUUCCAGCUCAGCUUCGGUUCAUUUCAGUUCAGUUCGCUUUAGAUGUGGGAAUGUGUCAGCUUUUGUGUCAAUUGUGUGGCCAUUAAACUAUUGCACAUCGACAGAACGUUGCCACCAACAGAUACAGCCGUAGAGGACGUAUACAAUUCGUUUCCGCUCCGACUGCUCUCAUAUUGGAGCGUGUCAGCCAUUCUUUGACAUGUUAUCUUGCCGUUGCCAGAGCCAAAGUUUUAUUGUUGCCUAAAAAAUAUUGCCACAAGACCAGCACCCAGAGACAGGAGGAGUAGGAGGAGGAGCAGCAGAAAACUUACACAAAACUUGACAGUUUUUAGCGCUUAAUGCAGCAAAGCCAGCUGUCAGCUGCAUUGCCAGAGGAACAGAGGACUAAGUGUCUUCCAUUCACUUUGCUGAGCAGAAAAUAGGAGCAAGAGAUAGAGAGAGGCAGGGAGGAAGCUGUGUGGCUGCACAAGGUCCAUUAGAUAAUUUGAUGAUUGCCAGUCCACUCAUCCAGAGUACAAAGGCGGCUCUUGAUGAAAAUGGAGAGAAAAUUCUUAAAUAUUUCCAUAUUUAACACACCGAACAUUUAUAGCACAGCAGCAUGGAUUUUCACAGUUUUUGCAAUCCAAUUUGGCCUGUACAAAUAUGCAUUUGUUUUCCACCUAUCUCCCAAAAAGAAAAAAAGAAACACUGCUUUUGUUUUCACAGGCAGAAUGAACAAAAAUGCUGAAGCAAAAUAUUUUCACCAGCAAAUGCAUUCGAUAUAUUUUUCUUUGACAUCUUGUUUCUACUUACUGAAAGAGCUUAAUUGAAACAGAUAAUUCCAUGAUUGUCAGCUGAAAUAGAUGUAUCGGAGCAACUCUUGAAGCAAUUAAAUCUUAUUGGACACAAUUUAGAGUGCCGUUUGAAGGCCCAUCUAUGGGGGCCAUAAAUAAAACGAUAUUUGAUGCACUUCCGGAAUUUGCACCAUCAUGAUUCAUAGUUUAUUCAUGUGAAUCUUUAAGCCGAACAGUGAAAACAAAUUGUGCAGCCAUUUGCUGUUGGCCUCUUUGCGCUGUAUUUUAUUUUUUAUAUUUUACAGAAAAACAUAUUUCCCCAGAAUUUAUUUAUGCGUGCAAACAAAAGUGUUGAAAAUGGCCCCGAGUCAGGGCGUGGCAGAAGCUAUAUGUGGAUCCAUGGAUGCAAUGGAUGGAUGGAUGGUUGGAUGGAUCCAACAGGAUGAAUGAAUGGCUGGCAUGGAGUAUGCUGAUGGGGGGCGUGUCAGGGCUGGAAUCGCAGCCUGUUUCACGGCAAUCACUCAGUGCAUUGUUUGCACUGCUUCGCUUUUAUUUUCGCUGCAACAACAGAAACUGUACACCAAAGAAAAAAAAGGGGAAACCAAACAAAAUGCCCGGCCCAAAAAGGAAAAGGGUGGAGGUAAAUAUUAAGUAAACAAAAGGGAAAUCUGAGGAGCAGCGAAUGGGAGUGCUAAACAUUCCACCAUUUCACUUUUCAUUGCGUGCCAUCGUUAAAUGAAGAGUAGUGCGAAAUAUUUGAGCGGAAUCUAUGUCAGCAGUUCCUCCAUUUUGCAGCUCCUCAAUGCUGACGCUGCUCGUAAAAAGUGUGGAAGCCUCGUAUUUUUUAUGAGAGCAGCAGUUCGAGUAGAAGGCGAAGGAAAGUGCACAACUGGCUGUCGAAGUGAAGUGGCCCCCGUUCAGCUUCAUUUCAGUUGGGAAAGGAAGCCCUUGGCUGCACUCUGGCCGCAUUUUCCAUUUCGCUGUUGCACCGAAACUGAUCUAAUUAGGCAGUGGGUGGCUGCACUCAGAACUGCUUGAAAAAACUUCAAAGAAAACUUUUCAAUAAUGAUUAUUGGACGCUGCCGGACACACAACAAAGUGGGGAGCAAUCACAACGAUUUCCCCAAGUUUUUCACAACGAAAUAAUGCAUUGUGGGAAAUGCUUCAAUAAUUCAUUUGACGGCGCACAAAACUUCUUCAGAAAAUGGCAAAUUAUUAACUAUUUGACAAUUGGAUUGGCCCUUGGAGAUGGCCACAAAUGAAGUCUGACAAAUGCAUGGAACAAGCAUCCAGCCAUCAAGUAAACCUUCCCCAAGGACCACAACUCCGCUUGAUUAAUGUGGCAUCCUUAAGGAAAGGAAAGCCGAGCAACCAUCAUGAUUGAUAUCAGUGUCUUGGCAGAGUGAGGGUCCACUCCGCUGACCAGCAGCGGGAGGCAUUCCUACACCCCCCCAGAGUCACAGACUAAGCAAUUUGUGUGGGUCAAAAGUCACCAGGACUAAGCCCUGGCUAAUGAAAAUGUGAAGCAGCAGUAAACGUUUUAAAAAUUCCACCAGCUUAAUAGCCAAUUAGCGCUACAAAAGGCACAGAGCAGGAGAGGCCUAGAUUUCAAUAAAGUGUCUUUUCCGCCAGACAGAGGAGUCCGAGACGCAGUCUCUGUCCCUCCACUAAUGGAAAAGAAUGGACCUCCUGCUGUUGUGUCUCCUGCUGCUACUUCUGUAGCGCAUAAAUUACAAUUAAGUGUAAUUAAUCAUUGCUGAGUGGCCCGGCGGCAUUUCGACAUCGACGUCCACAUCGCCAUCGCCAUAGCCAUCGGUUGCCCAGCCAAACCAAGAUGCCACACACAGCCGUAGGCGGACCAGCCGCCAUUUGUUUGGCUGUUGUCUUAUCCCUGGACAGGAUGAACAGGCUGAUGGUACACUCGAGUGGUUAGCCGCACAGCCACUUAGCCGGAACAAGGAACUGGAGAAGCAUCAGCUGCAACAUCAACGAAGAUUUCCCCAUGCAGGUGCGUUAGUUUUAACACCCGAGGAAUUUCUGAGAAAUAGUUAUCAAAGGAAUGAUGCCCUAAGCGAUGACAACAUCGUCAAACUUGCUGCCACUUUGGCAACUUUUUAGCUUUUCCAUCCACUCAUUAAUCAGGAAACUGUAACCUAAUAUAAUACCAGCCAUAUCGAGCUCAAGGAUUAUGCGAAACAAAACAAAUUAUGCAAAAAUAUGUGCUCCUGCCACAGUAUAACCUUCCUAAGAAAAUAUAGUAAUUACCAUAAGUUACCAUGAUAGGGGCAGGAAGUUUCCCCCUCCCGCUCCAUCUCCCCCUCUCCACAAGAACCAAACUUUAGUAAGUAUUUAAUAAGCAAUGUAAAUACUUAACAUAAGAUGGGGCUGGGCAUGAGGUUUAAGCUAAAAAAAAGGCAGAGAAAAGGGAAAUUUUGCCACAAACUAUUUUUAUCCUGGGGUCAGUCAAUGGCACUUGGCCGCCGGUGGGUUAAUGGCGGGUGGAGUGAAGUGGGCCAAAAAGGGGGAAAUUGUGAAAAUGGCUCAUGUCUGCUGGUCGCUGGUCAGGUCGCGCGUUCUGCACUAGUUGUCCAAGGCAAAAGGCAAAUCAAUGAAUGGAAUGAAAGAGGAUGAAAUACACAGGAGAAGCCUCACACAGAGAGCGAGAGAAAGAAAUUGAAAUGGAGAAAGAGAGGUGGCUAGAGGAA